rnacentral:piRNA from 1 species
UUUAAGGAUGCCAAACCAUUGACUGGGAUU